AUUGAACGCUGGCGGCAGGCUUAACACAUGCAAGUCGAGCGGGGUGAUGGUGCUUGCACUAUCACUUAGCGGCGGACGGGUGAGUAAUGCUUAGGAAUCUGCCUAUUAGUGGGGGACAACAUCUCGAAAGGGAUGCUAAUACCGCAUACGUCCUACGGGAGAAAGCAGGGGAUCACUUGUGACCUUGAGCUAAUAGAUGAGCCUAAGUCGGAUUAGCUAGUUGGUGGGGUAAAGGCCUACCAAGGCGACGAUCUGUAGCGGGUCUGAGAGGGGGAUCUGCUACACUGGGACUGAUACCCGGCCCAUGUUCUGUCUUGUUGCUUUAUUUUGUUAUCUCGGUUAAGUGUUGUAUCCCUGAUCCAGCCAUGCCGCGUUUGUUAAGAAUGCCUUAUGGUUGUAAAGCACUUUAAGCGAGGAGGAGGCUCUUUUGGUUAAUACCCAAGAUGAGUGGACGUUACUCGCAUAAUAAGCACCGGCUAACUCUGUGCCAGCCGCCGCGGUAA
rnacentral:rRNA from 1 species